rnacentral:rRNA from 1 species
UACGUAGGGGGCUAGCGUUGUCCGGAUUUAUUGGGCGUAAAGAGCGUGUAGGCGGCCAGGUAGGUCUGCUGUAAAAACUCGAGGCUCAACCUCGAGACGUCGGCGGAAACCAUCUGGCUAGAGUCCGGAAGAGGAGAGUGGAAUUCCUGGUGUAGCGGUGAAAUGCGCAGAUAUCAGGAAGAACACCCGUGGCGAAGGCGGCUCUCUGGGACGGUACUGACGCUGAGACGCGAAAGCGUGGGGAGCGAACAGG